CUCAGACUUUUCAGUUUUGAAGCAGCAUUUCAGUUUUUGCUAUCAUUUUCUCUUGUCUUUCUAAAAGAAGCUGGAUUUCUUUUUUUGUAUAGUAAAGGAGGAAAAGGUUACUUAUGAGAAUACAGCACGACACAAAAUACAGUAUCAAGGUCCCUUGGAUUUGGUUGAUACGUCCCUCUGCCAGACUUCCCUGCUGCUCAUUCCAUUCUUUAGUUGUCACAUCUACUUUGGCGUUAAUGUCACCCAUCACAAAGUGUUUUCUCACGAAGGAUAUGAGAUGUCUAUCCCAGCCAAAAGCCCAGGAUUUCUGCAGUAGCAACAAUCAGAGCACUGGGACACUUUGGUGGAACAUAAGGCAACAAACUGAUGGCACGGUUGGACCUAAUGCAACAGGAA
rnacentral:lncRNA from 1 species